AUUGGGUCUAUAGAAGGAAGUGCCUCCACAUCUGAAGUAGGGACCUGGGCAUUGAUAGUGAUGAAGUUGUGGAGAAGGAAGUCCACAUUCCCCUGCUGUGUGACUGGAGGUGACAGCAAGUGGACUUUUUCCAUUCUUGACCCCAGGAACCACCUACUGAGAAGAUAGUGACAGAACAGCUUGUGUUUGAGAUCUUUUACUGCACGGAUUUCACUCAGUCCUCAUGACCUCCACCCAUCCUUGAAUCUGCUUUUCUGACUUUUUGCCUGGCUUUGGCGUCUUCAAGCAAAUGACCUCAGCUCAACCUGCCUUUGGCUUUGUUUCCCUGCCUGAGAGGAUGUGAAGGAACCGAGUUCUUCUGAGGAGACUGGCUCAGUGCAGUUCGCCUGAGGGGAAGCUGGCACCAUGGCAGGGAAGAGACAGGUGUACUGUAUUUUACAAAUGAGUAUUUUAACGUUA